rnacentral:tRNA from 1 species
AGCGGAAACGGUAGUUAGGACUGCAAAUCCUUUAUUCGACGGUUCAAAUCCGUCUGCCGCCUCCA